rnacentral:tRNA from 6 species
GGUCCGGUAGUUCAGUUGGUUAGAAUGCCGCCCUGUCACGGCGGAGGUCGCGGGUUCGAGUCCCGUCCGGACCGCAA